UGAUCAUGGCCCAGAUUGAACGCUGGCGGCAGGCCUAACACAUGCAAGUCGAGCGGCAGCACGGGUACUUGUACCUGGUGGCGAGCGGCGGACGGGUGAGUAAUGCCUAGGAAUCUGCCUGGUAGUGGGGGAUAACGCUCGGAAACGGACGCUAAUACCYKUACGUCUSGGGAGAAAGCAGGKGACUUCGGGCUUUGYCCUKUKKGAUGAGCCUAGRUCYGUUAGCUAGUUGGUGAGGUAAUGGCUCACCAAGGCGACGAUCCGUAACUGGUCUGAGAGGAUGAUCAGUCACACUGGAKCUGAGAUACGGUCCAGACUCCUACGGGAGGC
rnacentral:rRNA from 1 species